rnacentral:rRNA from 1 species
GAGUAAGACCAAGCGGCGGACGGGUGAGUAACGCGUGGGUAACCUGCCCUAUACACAUGGAUAACAUACUGAAAAGUUUACUAAUACAUGAUAAUAUAUAUUUACGGCAUCGUAGAUAUAUCAAAGUGUUAGCGGUAUAGGAUGGACCCGCGUCUGAUUAGCUAGUUGGUGAGAUAACUGCCCACCAAGGCGACGAUCAGUAGCCGACCUGAGAGGGUGAUCGGCCACAUUGGAACUGAGACACGGUCCAAACUCCUACGGGAGGCAGCAGUGGGGAAUAUUGCACAAUGGGCGCAAGCCUGAUGCAGCAACGCCGCGUGAACGAUGAAGGUCUUCGGAUCGUAAAGUUCUGUUGCAGGGGAAGAUAAUGACGGUACCCUGUGAGGAAGCCCCGGCUAACUACGUGCCAGCAGCCGCGGUAAUACGUAGGGGGCUAGCGUUAUCCGGAUUUACUGGGCGUAAAGGGUGCGUAGGUGGUCUUUCAAGUCGGUGGUUAAAGGCUACGGCUCAACCGUAGUUAGCCUCCGAAACUGGAAGACUUGAGUGCAGGAGAGGAAAGUGGAAUUCCCAGUGUAGCGGUGAAAUGCGUAGAUAUUGGGAGGAACACCAGUAGCGAAGGCGGCUUUCUGGACUGCAACUGACACUGAGGCACGAAAGCGUGGGUAGCAAACAGGAUUAGAUACCCUGGUAGUCCACGCUGUAAACGAUGAGUACUAGGUGUCGGGGGUUACCCCCCUCGGUGCCGCAGCUAACGCAUUAAGUACUCCGCCUGGGGAGUACGCACGCAAGUGUGAAACUCAAAGGAAUUGACGGGGACCCGCACAAGUAGCGGAGCAUGUGGUUUAAUUCGAAGCAACGCGAAGAACCUUACCUAAGCUUGACAUCCCUUAGACCGGUGUUUAAUCACACCUUCCCUUCGGGGCUGAGGUGACAGGUGGUGCAUGGUUGUCGUCAGCUCGUGUCGUGAGAUGUUGGGUUAAGUCCCGCAACGAGCGCAACCCUUGUCUUUAGUUGCCAGCAUUCAGUUGGGCACUCUAGAGAGACUGCCAGGGAUAACCUGGAGGAAGGUGGGGAUGACGUCAAAUCAUCAUGCCCCUUAUGCUUAGGGCUACACACGUGCUACAAUGGGUGGUACAGAGGGUUGCCAAACCGUGAGGUGGAGCUAAUCCCUUAAAGCCAUUCUCAGUUCGGAUUGUAGGCUGAAACUCGCCUACAUGAAGCUGGAGUUACUAGUAAUCGCAGAUCAGAAUGCUGCGGUGAAUGCGUUCCCGGGUCU